rnacentral:rRNA from 1 species
UACGGAGGGGGCUAGCGUUGUCCGAAGUUACUGGGCGUAAAGCGCGCGUAGGCGGGUUGGUAAGUCCGCUGUGAAAGCCCGGAGCUCAACUCCGGAGGGUCGGUGGAUACUGCCAGUCUUGAAGGUGCUAGGGGGAGAUGGAAUUACCGGUGUAGCGGUGAAAUGCGUAGAUAUCGGGAGGAACACCUGCGGUGUAGACGGCUUACUGGACCAUAACUGACGCUGAGGCACGAAAGCGUGGUAGCAAACAGG